UACGAAGGGGCUAGGCGUUGCUCGGAAUCACUGGCGUAAAGCGCACGUAGGCGGACUCUUAAGUCGGUGGUGAAAUCCUGGAGCUCAACUCCAGAACUGCCUUCGAUACUGAGAGUCUCGAGUCCGGGAGAGGUGAGUGGAACUGCGAGUGUAGAGGUGAAAUUCGUAGAUAUUCGCAAGAACACCAGUGGCGAAAGGCGGCUCACUGGCCCGGUACUGACGCUGAGGUGCGAAAGCGUGGGGAGCAAACAGG
rnacentral:rRNA from 1 species